CCUACGGGUGGCAGCAGUGGGGGAUAUUGCACAAUGGGGGAAACCCUGAUGCAGCGACGCCGCGUGGGUGAAGAAGCGCCUCGGCGCGUAAAGCCCUGUCAGCAGGGAAGAAAAUGACGGUACCUGAAGAAGAAGCCCCGGCUAACUACGUGCCAGCAGCCGCGGUAAUACGUAGGGGGCAAGCGUUAUCCGGAUUUACUGGGUGUAAAGGGGGCGCAGGCGGCGAUGCAAGCCAGGAGUGGAAGUCCGGGGCCCAACCCCGGGACUGCCCUUGGAACUGCGUGGCUAGAGUGCAGGAGGGGCAGGCGGAAUUCGUGGUGUAGCGGUGAAAUGCGUAGAUAUCAGGAGGAACACCGGUGGCGAAGGCGGCCUGCUGGACUGCAACUGACGUUGAGGCCCGAAAGCGUGGGGAGCAAACAGGAUUAGAUACCCCAGUAGUC
rnacentral:rRNA from 1 species